GGAAGAUUGAAACUAUUAUUCCACUUCUUUCCUAUGUCAUCACCUCACAAACCAGGAUGUAGCAAUAUUAGCCAUUCAACAUAAAUAUAUGUAUAAUGUACCCAAUACUUAUCAUGUCUACGUAAAUAUGCACAAAUGAAAAGAUGUUGACUUCUAUGUUAUUUUGGUCUCUGGUCUCAUUAACAAUCAUACCACAUCUUCUUAUUAUAUGCCCGUCAAAAAUGGUAUACAAACGUCGUCUGUCCGUCUGUCUGUACGGUGUAAACAUGUCGCACCGUAACUUGAGAACGACUUAUCCAAAUUUCAUGAAACUUAAUAUAGUUGUUUCUUUUGAUGGUCAAACGAUCUGCAUACUUUUUGGUGAAAAUAAGAUUAAAACUUUUUGAGUUACGGGACUUAGUAACUAAAUCAGGUGUGUGUUUUUUUUCAAAUGUCGCGACGUAUCUCAAAAAACAAUUUAUGAUUAUUGCUUAAAACUUUACACACUUCUUAGUUAUAUUAAUCUUAAGAUUUGUAUACUUUUUGGUGAUGAUUCAAAAUUUUAUUUUUGAGUUAUUGAGUAUUUUGUAAAAAAAGGGGGAGGGGUUUUUCACAUGUCGUGCCGUAUCUCAAAAACAAUUUAUGUUUAUUGCUUAAAAUUUUACACACUUCUUAGUUAUAUUAAUCUAAAUUUCUGUAUACUUUUUGGUUUUCAUUCAAAAUUUUAUUUUAGAGAUAUUGAUUUUUUUUUUAAAAAGGGUGGUUUUCACAUGUCGCGCCGUAUCUCAAAAACGAUUUAUGAUUAUUGCUUAAAAUUUUACACACUUCUUAGUUUUAUUAAUCUUAAGAUCUGUAUACUUUUUGGUUUUGAUUCAAAAUUUCAUUUUUAGAGAUAUUUUUAGUUUUUUGUAAAAAAAAAAGGGGGGUUUUCGCAUGUCGCGUCGUAUGUCGGAAACUAUUUAUGAUUAUUGCUUAAAAUUUCACACACAAGACGACGGGCGUAUCAUGCGCUCAUGGCGCAGCUGUUUAUUUUUAGCUCACCUGGCCCAAAGGGGCAAGUGAGCUUUUCUCAUCACUUGGCAUCCGUCGUCCGUCGUCGUCGUUAACUUUUUAUACGACCGCAAAAAUUGAAAAUUUUUUGGUCGUAUAUUGGUAUGACGUUGGCGUCGUCGUCGUCGUCGUCGUCCGGCGUCGUCUGGCGUCGUCCGAAGACACAUUGGUUUUCGCACUCUAACUUUAGUUUAAGUGAAUGGAUCUCCAUGAAAUUUUACCAUAAGGUUCAAUACCACGAAAGGAAGGUGGGGAUUGAUUUUGGGGGUUGUGGUACCAACAGCUAAGGAAUUAGGGGCCAAAAAGGGGCCAAAUAUAAGCAUUUUUGUAACUUCCAGACAAUAACUUGUGUGUAAGUGUAUGGAUCUCUCUGACAUUGUACCACAAGGUUCCAUAUCACAAAGGGAAGGCUGUAAUUGAUUUUGGGGGUAAUUGCCUCAAAAUUUUAGGAAUUAGGGGCCAAAAAAGGGGCAAAAAACAAGCAUUUUUCUAGUUUCAUGACAAUAACUUGUGUGUAAGUGUUUGGAUAUUUCUGAAAUUGUACUACAAGGUUCCAUAUCACAAAGGGAAAGCUGGAAUUGAGUUUGGGGGUAAUUGUCCGAAACGUUUAGGAAUUGGGGGCCAAAAAGGGGCCAAAAAUAAGCAUUUUUCUAGUUUCCAGACAAUAACUUGUGUUCAAGUGUAUGGAUCUCUCUGAAAUUGUACUGCAAGGUACCAUACCACAAAGGGAAGGCUGGGAUUGAGUUUGGGGGUGAUGAAUCAUAAGGGGGUUCAAAAAAUUUGGGGGGGGGGAUUUUUUUUUUUCUUUUUUUUUCUUUUUUUCCUUUUUUUUUCCUUUUAAAAUUUUCCAUUUUAAGUUGGUUAUUUCUGAUUAAUAUUUAAAAGCAAAUAAUAAUGAUAUGGUAGGAGAUACACACCAAACAGGAUGUGUAAAUUAUUAUAUAAUAAGUAUUGUGCAAUAGCAAGAAAUUUUCAAUUGCACAGUAUUGCACAAUUGCAAGAAAUCUUCAAUUGCACAGUAUUGCGCAAUAGCAAGAAAUCUUCAAUUGCACAGUAUUGCGCAAUAGCAAGAAAUAUCCAAUAGCACAAUAUUGCGCAAUAGCAAGAAAUUGUCAAUUGUACAGUAUUGCACAAUAGCAAGAAAUAUUCAAUUGCACAGUAUUGUGCAAAAGAAGAUACUUCGUAUAAAUUGCUUAUUUCUUGAUCAAUUUCAAUGGGGUUUUAUUCUUGAAUUCUUGGGGUUCUUUAAUAUGCUGAAUCUAACCGUGUAUUAAGGUUUUGGAUUUUGGGCCCCGUUUUUAAAUUGGUCCACAUUGAGGUCCAAAGGGUCCAAAAUUAAACUUUGUUUGAUUUCAUCAAAAAUUGAAUUAUUGGGGUUCUUUGAUAUGCCGAAUCUAACCGUGUAUUUAGAUUCUUAAUUUUUGGUUCCGUUUUCAAAUUGGUCUACAUUAAGGUCAAAAGGGUCCAAAAUUAAACUUAGUUUGAUUUUAACAAAAAUUGAAUUUUUAGGGUACUUUGAUAUGCUGAAUCUAAACAUGUAUUUAGAUUUUUGAUUAUGGGCCCAGUUUUCAAGUUGGUCCAAAUCGGGGUCCAAAAUUAAACUUUGUUUGAUUUCAACAAAAAUUGAAUAUAUGGGGUUCUUUGAUAUGCUGAAUCUAACCAUGUAUUUAGAUUUUUGAUUUUUGGGCCCCGUUAUCAACUUUGUCCACAUUGAGGUCAAAAGGGUCCAAAAUUAAACUUUGUUUGAUUUCAUCAAAAAUUGAAUUCUUGGGGUUCUUUGAUAUGCUGAAUCUAACCAUGUAUUUAGAUUUUUUAUUUGUGGACCCGCUAUCAAAUUGGUUCAUAUUGAGGUCAAAAGGGUCCAAAAUUAAACUUUGUUUGAUUUCAUCAAAAAUUGAAUUAUUGGGGUUCUUUGAUAUGCCAAAUCUUACCGUGUUUUUAGAUUUUUAAUUUUGGGUCCCGUUUUUUAAAUUGGUCUACAUUAAGGUCCAAAGGGUCCAAAAUUAAACUUAGUUUGAUUUUAACAAAAAUUGAAUUCUUGGGGUACUUUGAUAUGCUGAAUCUAAACAUGUGUUUAGAUUUUUGAUUAUGGGACCAGUUUUCAAGUUUGUCCAAGUUGGGGUCCAAAAUUAAACUUUGUUUGAUUUCAACAAAAAUUGAAUAUAUGGGGUUCUUUGAUAUGCUGAAUCUAACCAUGUAUUUUGAUUUUGGACAUUGGACCAUAAUAGGUAAAUUAAAAAAAUUGAAGUUCUUAGACCACAUUCUUUCUGUGUCAGAAACCUAUGCUGUGUCAAAUAUUUAAUCACAAUCCAAAUUCAGAGCUGUAUCAAGCUUGAAUGUUGUGUCCAUACUUGACCCAACUGUUCAGGGUUCGACCUCUGCGGUCGUAUCAAGCUGCGCCCAGCGAAGCAUUUUAUUA